UAAACAGGCCAACAAAGCCCAUUAAAGCAAGAAAUUACUAACUAUAAAAUCAACACAAAGUGAUCAAAAUUAGGGUAAAUGGAAAGAACAAGAAAGAGGCAAGGAGAGGCCAUGGGAGUUUAUGAGGACCGUUUGCCACUCUCCUCUUUGCCGAUGAUUUCUGCGACCAAAUUAAACGGCCCUCAAACAAUCAUCAUCAUCAACAACAACAACAAAAACAACAAUUAUACUUGUACAACUUCUACUCCAUUUUUCUUGCGUUAACUAAACGCCCCCUUAUUUUAUACGGAGUACAAAUUACAUGAAAUAAUAAUAAUAAUAAUAAUAGUAAUAAUUUUAUGAGGCUGUGAUGAUUUUGUUCUUUCCAUUGUUGUCGAUUUCAGUUUGGAUUUGUGGCUAAUUUCUUCGAGUUGGGUAAUUUUCCCAUUUGGCUUGGCAGCAAUUUGAUUUUGAUUUAGGUUUUAUGCGUUUGUUGGUGAUUUUUCUCUCCUCAAAUGCUUAGACUCAAGUCUUGUUAUUUUGAUUUGCCGCCUUUUGGUUGAUUUUUUUCCCUUUUUUGAAAUUUGCUGCACCAAAUUGGUUGAUGAAUUCCAGAUCUGAGCCUCCAAAAAUUAAAAAUUAACUUUUUUUUUCUCUCUCGACUAAAUCGGUUUUUGGGGUAUGAGUUUUGGAGCAAAUUAAUUUUCAGAAAUUAUUGAUGGGGUUAAAGAGGGUGUCUUUGAUUUUCUGGGUUGUUAAAGAUUGAAACUUUAAUGGGCAUUUUAAGACUAUUUGAUGGAUAUUGAAAGUACUACUAUUAUUAUAGAUAAACUUUAUUAUCUUACCAUUGCAAUUGUAUCAUUGUGCCAUUGAUUGUGAACAGCAUAGCAAGUGAAGGACAACAUUCAGCUCUAUGCCUCUAUCCCAAAAGACAUUACAUAGCAAGUUGUAUUAUUACUUAUUAGUCACAGACUCACAGUUGCACAUAAUUAUUGACGGAAACUAGAGUUGUACAUGAGUCAAGUCGGCCUAAUAUGGCUCGUUACCGGUUAUAUUUGGUAUUGUAUUGAUCAUAUUCAACCUAUUAUCACAAGUUAUUGAUCAACAAACGAAAUAAGGCAAAUUGGUACUCCAUAUGUGGAACUAACGAAUUGCAUAGCUAAAUGAAGUAAACCCUAUAUCAUAUUAGCAAAUUAAAUCAAAAUCAUUUGGAACUGAAUGGAUUAUAACAGUACAUACUCCGCCCUCAGCGAAAGUCUGCUGCUGGAGGUGUACGGAUAAAAUGGCUGGUAACAUCUUACCACUCGUCUGAUAGAUAGUUAUAUAUGACACUAUGACAGCAAGGGUAAUGCGUCUGUGUAUAAUUUUGCAUAGAAAGCGCAUGCUGGAGUUCAUGGUAAUGUGAUUUUCAGUUGAAACUUGUGUGAAGACUGAAUUUAGAGCUGCAUUACUAUAUACAUUGACAUGAGGUUUUCCAUUUGAGUCCAUUACUGUUAGCGUCAUUCAUACUACCGCCUAAUAAACUGGUCACUAUUGUCACAGGACUUCAUAUAAAUUUGAUGGUUGAUACUCUCUUGUUGGAAAGAAUCUGAUACUUGGGUACCUUGUGUUUUUGAUCUGUCACCAAAAAUGACAAAGAAUUGCUUUAUUUUAUCUACAAUGAAUUCUCAGAAAUCUCUAAUCUGAAGCUAUGAGAGCCAUUCAUUUUUUAUUUUAGCUUUGCAUCAGCCAUUAGGCGUUAGAUUAUUUGUUUAGCAUACAUCGACAAAAUUAAUUAUGCUCGGUUGAGUAACUUUAGUCAGUUGGCUGUCGGUUUUCACCAUUCUGUUCAUGCUAAUGAAUGUUCAUGCAGCUGAAUGACUAAUCAACCCUACUUUUGGUGCAUGCUUCUUCUCUACAUGUGCUAAAAACUGUAUGUUUACCCUGCUACUAAACCCCUCCUCACCGACACUGCUAUUUGUGUAUUGCUAAUCUUGUUCAUGAAAAAACUCAGAGAUUUUUAUGGAAAUCUGUCCUGUAAAGUGUCCCAUCUUUUAAAUUUAUAGGUACCAACUUACAACAAUAUCUCACAUUCAAUCAUCAGAAGCUUUAUUUAAUGUGGGUCCUCAGUUUUUAUGCAUUAAAAUGUACUGUAAUCUUCAACUGUUUGAUAUGCUCUUCUUAACUUCCUCUAUUUCUUUUCUUUUCUUUUCUUUUCUUUGCUUCGGGGUGGUUUGCAACAUGUCCGUAAGAAGACCCCCACAGAGGAUCUUGCUUUGUUUAGACUGGUUAUUAUUCUUGUGAUUCCUUACUUUACAGAAGCGAAAGUUCCGCUUAAAAGAACUAUAUCUCCCUUGCAUUGUUUUUAAAUGGAACUGGUUAGACUUCCUUUCUUCCCCUUCGUCUUUACUUUGUUUAUAACCUUUUUAUCAGGGUGGCAAUAAGGUUGUUUGGAUUGAAUUAAUUUUCUUCCGGUCUUAUUAGGGCGAUGAGUCAUUUAGUUUGGAUUAUAUAGGUACUAUUGAAAUUAGAUUGUUAUGAUAUUAAUCAAUACAAUCCAUUAGUACUCGGUUUGGGCCAGGUAAAAUCGGACAAGUUAUUAUGGGUAGAGAAAUUGGAUCAUAUACGGGUUAAUUUUUAAACCGGCCUUUUUCUAUCCUUUACAAGGUUAUACUAGAAAAUAAGAUCAAAGAACCUUCCCUCUCUUUUUGUGUUUGCCUUUGAUUAAACAAUAAUUAACCAAAGUAAGCUUUAGUAUGGAGAUUAAUAUAUCAUAACCAAAAGCCAUGGUUCCAAAAUAUCACGCUGUUCUUUAAGUUAUCGCCUUUUUUUUUAACUGCUAAUGAUUUGUGAAGAAAGCAGCACAGUAUCUUACUUUCCUCCAUUUUCGACGCGUUUAGGUGGUGAAAGUUGUUGCUAAUCAUCUGUUAAGAAUAUUCUUAAUCAGGUCUAAUCAUCAGGCUCUACCUUAGCUAUGAACUGAUAAUUCUAGGCAAAAACAAAGAUGGUCAUCAACUUUAAGCUCAGAAUGUAACAACUGAAGCUGUAAUUCAGCGUCUUUUAGUGUGAUUUGUGUUAAUUUGGUGGGACUAUGAGUUGGCAAAGUUCUAAAGUUUGUUUAUAUAUUUUAGUUGAUUUGGGUGUUACAUUAUUAAUUUUAUUAUUAUUAUGCAGGUCCAAUGAUUUUUCGAGUUUAUAUUAUAGGCGCAAAAUGACAAUUUACUUAAAUUUACAGGUUUUAGAAGUGAUACAUUAUAGGACAGUUUUAGCGCGAUUUGUAAUUUUACUUGUUUAUAUUAAUAGCCUCUUAUUAUUGGGAAAAUCAACUUGAUGUUAUGUUUCAACUGAAACUUUGUACGAAAGAGUAUAAAAUAUCUUUAAUGGCCUUGUUUUUUAA